ACACGCAUGACACACUGCAUAUCAAUAAGCGGAGGAAAAGAAACUAACAAGGAUUCCCUUAGUAACGGCGAGUGAAGCGGGAAGAGCUCAAAUUUGAAAUCUUCAAGGUUUUACCUUGACGAAUUGUAGUUUAAAGAAGUGUUUUCUGUUGGAGUUUUGGUAAAAGUUCUUUGGAAUAGGACAUCAUAGAGGGUGAGAAUCCCGUAUUUGACCAUUAUUUCCGGCUGUGUGAUACACUUUCAAAGAGUCGGAUUGUUUGGGAAUGCAGUCCAAAAUGGGUGGUAAAUUUCAUCUAAAGCUAAAUAUUGGCGAGAGACCGAUAGCGAACAAGUACCGUGAGGGAAAGAUGAAAAGAACUUUGAAAAGAGAGUUAAACAGUACGUGAAAUUGUCAAAAGGGAAGCGUUUGACACCAGUGUUGUUUUUCCGAAAAUCAAUUACGAAUGUUUUAUUUUUGAGAAGUUAUGACUUCAUCGGCUUGCUUCUCUCUUUAUGAAACUUUCUUAAUGCACUUUUCGGUUAACAAGUCAACAUCAAUUUCUUUUGUUGUAAAAGGGUAUGAGGAAGGUGGCUUUCUUUUCGGAGAAAGUGUUUAUAGCCUUGUGCCUCUGCAAUCGGAGAGAUUGAGGUCUGCAGCGUAGAUCCUUCGGGGUUAGAUACGUUUGUGCUAAGUUAUAGCUUUUCAUAGACAACUUGUUGACUAUGUUUAGUCUUGUAGCUUACUCGCUGAUGCUAUUUUACCUACGCUUAGGAUGUUGACUGAUAUGUAGUCGUA
rnacentral:rRNA from 1 species